rnacentral:lncRNA from 1 species
AAAUGAGAACAUGCAUGGUGUAUAUAGAAGUUUUUCAUUUAUGUUUCAAUCCCCACCACUUAAGUCAUGCUCAAUAAAAAUCUCAUUCCACCGACCAAACAAAACUAAAGAAAUUCCAUUAAUUGAAAUAUCACAAAGAGAUAUAAUCAGAGAAAAUUAAUGCAGAAGUUAGAAUCUUUUUACCUAUAGCAUUUAAAAAGGAAAAAAGGCAUAACCAGGUAACCUAUAUCAAACACCACCAAUAUUUCCCCAUACUAUAAUACUCUGCAAUUCAAGUGCGAAAAAAAAAAACCAUAAGAAGAUAAAAUAUAAUCAAAUACCAAUCAAUUUUCCGUUAAGAAAAAGUCAAUUACUUCAACACUCAACAUGUCAAAAUUAUCUUCUUCUAACCCUUUAUUUAUUUAAGAGGAGAUGAAUAGAAAAGAAAAUUAGAAGAGUGGUGUAUUUGAUCACAAUGAGAAAAUAUGUGUGUAUUAGUGAAGGAGUUAUUCAAAAAUAUAGGAUUGGAUGCUCAAGACU